UACGUAGGGCGCAAGCGUUGUCCGGAAUUAUUGGGCGUAAAGAGCUCGUAGGCGGCUUGUCACGUCGGGUGUGAAAGCCCGGGGCUUAACCCCGGGUCUGCAUUCGAUACGGGCAGGCUAGAGUGUGGUAGGGGAGAUCGGAAUUCCUGGUGUAGCGGUGAAAUGCGCAGAUAUCAGGAGGAACACCGGUGGCGAAGGCGGAUCUCUGGGCCAUUACUGACGCUGAGGAGCGAAAGCUAGGGGAGCAAACGGG
rnacentral:rRNA from 1 species